AUAGCCUAAAUAGCCUGAAUGCAUCAGAUCCCAUCUGAUUUUGGAAGCUAAGUAAGGUCAGGUCUAUUCAGUACUUAGAUGAAGGACUGCCAGAGAAUACCAAGAGCUGUAGGCUAUA
rnacentral:rRNA from 11 species